rnacentral:tRNA from 1 species
GAGGGUAUGGCUCAAUGGUAGAGCACAUGCUUAGCAUGCAUGAGGUCCUAGAGUCAAUCCUCAGUACCUCCA